rnacentral:rRNA from 1 species
UACAGAGGUCCCAAGCGGUGUUCGGAUUCACUGGGCGUAAAGGGUGCGUAGGUGGCGAGGUAAGUUCGAUGUGAAAUCCCCGGGCUCAACCCGGGAACUGCAUUGAAAACUAUCUCGCUAGAGGAUCGGAGGGGAGACUGGAAUUCUUGGUGUAGCAGUGAAAUGCGUAGAUAUCAAGAGGAACACCAGUGGCGAAGGCGAGUCUCUAGACGAUACCUGACACUGAGGCACGAAAGCUAGGGGAGCAAACAGG